CCCCGGGUGAUUUAAGCAUCUCUAUAAGGGGGAGGAAAAAGACCAACAGGGAUUGCCUCAGUAAGGGAGAGUGAAGCCGCCACAGCUCAAAUGUGAUAUCUGGCCCUAGCCCAGAGUUGUAUUUUGUAGAGGAUGUUUGUGCUGCGGUGCUUUCCGAGUUCCGUGGAACGGGCCCCAUAGAGGGUGAGACCCCAGUCCGGUCGUGCGCUAAGCUUAUGAGAAUCUCUUUAGACGAGUCGAGUAGUUUGAGAAUGCUGCUAAAAAUGAGAGGUAUAUGUCUUAUAAAGAUAUAUACCCCACAGAGACCGAUAGCGCACAAGUAGAGUGAUAGAAAGAUGAAACGCACUGAGAAAAGAGGUUUACAUAGUACGAGAAAUUGGAGAAAGGGAAGCUCUUAUGCCCAGACUUGGCCUAGGUUUAUCAUCCCGCGUUCUCGCCGGCGCUUUUUGCCUGUCCAGCCCAGCUUCAUUUUACGUCGGGGGAUAAAGGCUUCGGGAAUGUGGUUCCUUCGGGACUGUUAUACCCCGGCCUGUAAUCCCCUGACGAGGACUGAGUUACGCGCUCCGCAAGGAUGCUGGCGUAAUGGUCAUCAGCGACCCGUCUUGAAACACGGACCAAGGAGUCGUCUUCGUAUGCGAGUGUUCGGGUGUCAAACCCCUACGCGUAAUGAAAGUGAACGUAGGAGAGAGCUUCGGCGCAUCUCCGACCGAUCCUGAUGUUCUCGGAUGGAUUUGAGUAAGAGCAUACGGGGCCGGACCCGAAAGAAGGUGAACUAUGCCUGUAUAGGGUGAAGCCAGAGGAAACUCUGGUGGAGGCUCGCAGCGGUUCUGACGUGCAAAUCGAUCGUCAAAUAUGGGCAUGGGGCGAAAGACUAAUCGAUCAUG
rnacentral:rRNA from 1 species